rnacentral:rRNA from 1 species
UACGUAGGCAGCGAGCGUUGUUCGGAAUUACUGGGCGUAAAGAGUGUGUAGGCGGUGUUCCCAGUCUGUUGUGAAAUUUCCCGGCUUAACUGGGAGGGUGCAGCGGAAACUAGAAUGCUAGAGGGUGGGAGAGGUAAGCGGAAUUCCUGGUGUAGCGGUGAAAUGCGUAGAUAUCAGGAGGAACACCUGUGGUGUAGACAGCUUACUGGACCACUUCUGACGCUGAGACACGAAAGCGUGGGUAGCAAACAGG